UAACACAUGCAAGUCGAACGGAAACGAAACUAGCUUGCUAGUAGGCGUCGAGUGGCGGACGGGUGAGUAACGCGUAGGAAUCUGCCUGAUAGUGGGGGAUAGCCCGAAGAAAUUCGGAUUAAUACCGCAUAAUCUAUUCGUAGUAAAGUGGGGGACUUUCGAGCCUCACGCUAUCAGAUGAGCCUGCGUAAGAUUAGCUUGUUGGUAGGGUAAAAGCCUACCAAGGCAACGAUCUUUAGCUGGUCUGAGAGGAUGAUCAGCCACAUCGGGACUGAGACACGGCCCGAACUCCUACGGGAGGCAGCAGUGGGGAAUAUUGGACAAUGGGGGCAACCCUGAUCCAGCAAUACCGCGUGUGUGAAGAAGGCCUGAGGGUUGUAAAGCACUUUCAAUUGUGAAGAAAAGUUAACGGUUAAUAACCGUUGACCUUGACGUUAACUUUAGAAGAAGCACCGGCUAACUCCGUGCCAGCAGCCGCGGUAAUACGGAGGGUGCAAGCGUUAAUCGGAAUUACUGGGCGUAAAGCGUGCGUAGGCGGUUUAUUAAGUCAGAUGUGAAAGCCCCGGGCUUAACCUGGGAACUGCAUUUGAAACUGGUCAACUAGAGUAUGGUAGAGGAAAGUGGAAUUUCUGGUGUAGCGGUGAAAUGCGUAGAUAUCAGAAGGAACAUCAAUGGCGAAGGCAGCUUUCUGGACCAAUACUGACGCUGAGGUACGAAAGCGUGGGUAGCAAACAGGAUUAGAUACCCUGGUAGUCCACGCCGUAAACGAUGAUAACUAGCCGUUGGGGGGAUUUACCCCUUAGUGGCGAAGCUAACGCGUUAAGUUAUCCGCCUGGGGAGUACGGCCGCAAGGCUAAAACUCAAAGGAAUUGACGGGGACCCGCACAAGCGGUGGAGCAUGUGGUUUAAUUCGAUGCAACGCGAAGAACCUUACCUGGUCUUGACAUCCUGCGAACUUUCUAGAAAUAGAUUGGUGCCUUCGGGAACGCAGUGACAGGUGCUGCAUGGCUGUCGUCAGCUCGUGUCGUGAGAUGUUGGGUUAAGUCCCGUAACGAGCGCAACCCCUAUCCUUAUUUGCCAGCACAUUAUGGUGGGAACUAUAAAGAGACUGCCGGUGAUAAACCGGAGGAAGGCGGGGACGACGUCAAGUCAUCAUGGCCCUUACGACCAGGGCUACACACGUGCUACAAUGGGAAGGACAAAGAGCCGCGAAGCCGCGAGGUGUAGCUAAUCUCAUAAAUCUUUUCGUAGUCCGGAUUGGAGUCUGCAACUCGACUCCAUGAAGUCGGAAUCGCUAGUAAUCGUAGAUCAGAAUGCUACGGUGAAUACGUUCCCGGGUCUUGUACACACCGCCCGUCAUACCAUGGGAGUGGGUUGCACCAGAAGUGGCUAGUCUAACUUUGUGAGGACAGUCACCACGGUGUGAUUCAUGACUGGGGUA
rnacentral:rRNA from 1 species